rnacentral:rRNA from 1 species
GGUUAAGCGACUAAGCGUACACGGUGGAUGCCCUGGCAGUCAGAGGCGAUGAAGGGCGUGCUAAUCUGCGAUAAGCGCCGGUAAGGUGAUAUGAACCGUUAUAACCGGCGAUACCCGAAUGGGGAAACCCAGUGUGACUCGUCACACUAUCAUUAACUGAAUCCAUAGGUUAAUGAGGCGAACCGGGGGAACUGAAACAUCUAAGUACCCCGAGGAAAAGAAAUCAACCGAGAUUCCCCCAGUAGCGGCGAGCGAACGGGGAGG